rnacentral:snoRNA from 1 species
CUGCAAUGAUGACCAUCUUAGGACACCUUUCGAUUAAUCAUGAAAACAAUUUUUUUUAGUCUGAGCUGC